rnacentral:tRNA from 1 species
GACCGCGUAGCUCAGUUGGAAGAGCAUUGGGCUAGUAUUCCAAAGGUCGUAGGUUCGAUUCCCACUGUGGCCG